CUCAUAGCGUAUAUUUAAGUUGUUGCAGUUAAAAAGCUCGUAGUCGGAUUUUGGCUGAGAACGAACGGUCCGCCGUUAGGUGUGCACUGUUUGGUCUCAGCUUCCUGGUGAGGAGGUGUGCUUCACGGCCACUUAGUCACCGUGGUUACUUUGAAAAAAUUAGAGUGUUCAAAGCGGGCUUACGCUUGAAUAUAUUAGCAUGGAAUAACACCAUAGGACUCCUGUCCUAUUUCGUUGGUCUCGGGACGGGAGUAAUGAUUAAGAGGAACAGUUGGGGGCAUUCGUAUUUCAUUGUCAGAGGUGAAAUUCUUGGAUUUAUGAAAGACGAACUUCUGCGAAAGCAUUUGCCAAGGAUGUUUUCAUUGAUCAAGAACGAAAGUUGGGGGCUCGAAGAUGAUUAGAUACCAUCCUAGUCUCAACCAUAAACGAUGCCGACUAGGGAUUGGCGGAUGUUAAUUGAUGACUUCGCCAGCACCUUAUGAGAAAUCAAAGUUUUUGGGUUCCGGGGGGAGUAUGGUCGCA
rnacentral:rRNA from 1 species